rnacentral:rRNA from 1 species
UACGUAGGGGGCUAGCGUUGUCCGGAAUCAUUGGGCGUAAAGCGCGCGUAGGCGGCCCGGUAAGUCCGCUGUGAAAGUCAAAGGCUCAACCUUUGAAUGUCAGCGGAUACUGCCGGGCUAGAGUCCGGAAGAGGCGAGUGGAAUUCCUGGUGUAGCGGUGGAAUGCGCAGAUAUCAGGAGGAACACCUAUUGCGAAGGCAGCUCGCUGGGACGUUACUGACGCUGAGACGCGAAAGCGUGGGGAGCAAACAGG